rnacentral:tmRNA from 1 species
GGGGGCGAUUAGGAUUCGACGGUGGUUACAAAACCUGCGGUGCAUGUCGGGAGGGUAACAACUUCCGUGACCAAAUGUUACAAUUUUAUAGUUGCCAAAAACGACGCAACUUUCGGCGCAGCAGCUCCAGUAAGACUGGCUGCUUAAUCACUGCUUAAGAAACAGUGACGUCGCAAUCCAUCCGGUUUGUCUGUUGGCUGGUUUUCGGGUUGUCAUCUUAAACAGGAUCGCCUCAGGUAAUGCUGUCUGACGUUACCAGGUUAAACUUUUAUCAGUCUCGCUUUAUGGCACCCUGACUGCUGGGUCAUCAUAAAGUUAAACUAAAGGCAGCUCUAAGCAUGUAGAGCCAAUGGCUGCGGAUUGCCGGACGCGGGUUCAAAUCCCGCCGCCUCCACCA